GGAAAGACCAUAGCUCAGUGACAGAGCAUCUGCCCUCCAUGCAGAAUGUCUCAGAUUUAAUCCCUCGUGUCUCCA